rnacentral:rRNA from 1 species
AGUGAACGCUGGCGGUAGGCCUAACACAUGCAAGUCGAACGGCAGCACAGUAAGAGCUUGCUCUUACGGGUGGCGAGUGGCGGACGGGUGAGGAAUACAUCGGAAUCUACUUUUUCGUGGGGGAUAACGUAGGGAAAUUUACGCUAAUACCGCAUAUGACCUACGGGUGAAAGCAGGGGAUCUUCGGACCUUGCGCGAUUGAAUGAGCCGAUGUCGGAUUAGCUAGUUGGCGGGGUAAAGGCCCACCAAGGCGACGAUCCGUAGCUGGUCUGAGAGGAUGAUCAGCCACACUGGAACUGAGACACGGUCCAGACUCCUACGGGAGGCAGCAGUGGGGAAUAUUGGACAAUGGGCGCAAGCCUGAUCCAGCCAUACCGCGUGGGUGAAGAAGGCCUUCGGGUUGUAAAGCCCUUUUGUUGGGAAAGAAAAGCAGCAGGUUAAUACCCCGCUGUUCUGACGGUACCCAAAGAAUAAGCACCGGCUAACUUCGUG